GUUAAAGCUUCGGCGCCUGAAGAUGAGCCUGCGUCUGAUUAGCUAGUUGGCGGAGUAAUGGCCCACCAAGGCUACGAUCAGUAACUGGUCUGAGAGGAUGAUCAGUCACACUGGAACUGAGACACGGUCCAGACUCCUACGGGAGGCAGCAGUAAGGAAUAUUGCUCAAUGGGAGAAAUCCUGAAGCAGCAACGCCGCGUGAGGGAUGGAAGGGCUUUGCUCGUAAACCUCUGUAGUGAGGGAAAAAUUUCCACUCUGUGGAAUAUGAUGGUACCUCAAAAGUAAGCCCCGGCUAACUACGUG
rnacentral:rRNA from 1 species